rfam:Rattus norvegicus chromosome 4, whole genome shotgun sequence.
GGGGAUUUAGCUCAGUGGUAGAGCGCUUGCCUAGCAAGUGCAAGGCCCUGGGUUCGGUCCCCGGCUCCA